AUGCAGCAAGCUCAGCACCAGCAGUCACUACCUCAACAAAUGACUUCUCAUCCUUUGCAACCGUCGAAUUUGCCACAGCUACAGCCUCCACAUAUGCCUCUAAUGCCACAUCCUCAUUUACCUCGGCCACCACACCAACUACAACAAGUAAACAUGCCUGGCCUUCCGUCUUCAAUGCCAGGUUCGGGAUCCAUCCAAGCAAUGCCUAUCCCUGGUCCAAUGGUAUGUAUCAUAUUUCUAUUUGCAGGUUGCAUCUUCUUCCCCUUUUUUCCUGUAGAUGUGCCAUACAUAUCUUGAUUCAUCACGGUGCAUCUUUAAGUUUAAUGCUCUUGCUAAUCAAACGGAAAUAAGUAAGCGUUUAAUGUAUUUUUAGUGUAGCAUGCAUUCUGAUUUGUAUCUCUGUGUUUAUGUUUGCUUAUAUUGAUAGAUUCUGAAUUCAUCUUCAUUCGAACCCCCCCCCCUACCCCCACCCCCCUCUUUUAGUGAAGAUGCCUCUUCUUCUCUGUAGAUUUUCCAAAUCAACCUAGUGCACAAAGCAUCCGGCAUUCACGCAGGGUGGGGAAAGGGCCACACCCUUAGGGGUGUGAUGUAGACAACAUACCCUAUACCCUAAUGCAAGCAUUAGUGGCUACUUCCAUGGCUCGAACCCGUGACCAAUAGGUCACACGAAAAAUAAAGAGAAAUCAAUAUUUGUGUAGAUUUUCCACAUUCAUUUUGUGCAAAGUGCUUAUAAAACUUUGAUAUUAAAGAAUAAGUGUUGUGAAACAGAGAUUAUCUUUUUGUAGGAUUCCAACUUUAUUUUACUGAUAUUCUAGGUUUAAGGCCAUAAUAAUUUCCGAGGCGUUAGUCAUGUAUUUGUAUUGAGAUGACAGUUGUAGCCAAAUGGUUACAAUUUUUCUUUGCACCUGUUGCAGAUAUAAAAUAAAUUACAGUAAAAGUGUCCCCUAUCCGAGAGUUUUAAACUUUUAAAUUAGACAGUUCACGCAGUUCAAUGUGGUAUUAUAAAAGGCAGAGGGUCCUCAAGCCUUCCCGUCAUCGAUCUACAAAAUAUUUUCAUGUGCUUGACAAGGGGAAAAAUUCAGGGUUGCACGUGAGAGGGCGAGGUUUAAUGACAUAAGUUACAUCAAUACAUGCGUCAUGUUUCUAACUGCUAAAGCUUUUACACGAGACGGUUCUCACUUUUCAACUUGCAUGGAUCAAAUUUCAUUAGCAUCUUUGUGUCUUCUUGAAUAGAGCGGAAUUGGUAGCAACCCGACGGCUUUGGAAUUGUGGCAUAUAUUUGAUUGAUUGAUACGAAGUGCAUUUGCUUGAAGGAAAUACAUCGAGAGGAUCAAGGGGUUAUUUCAGCAUCACUGCUUGGUUGUCUUCUUGUUUUCAGGGGAUACAAGGUAACAUGAAUCAGAUGGUUCCUCCAAUGCCUCAAGGUCAUUGUUAGGACCGAAAAAUCAGGUGUCAUACGGAAGCUAGCAAAACAAAACUUGAGCGACGAUAAAUUAUACAACAAAAAGAAAUAUACCAAAAGAGAUACAAACAUUUAACGUGGUUCGGUUAACUGACUUACAUCUACAACGGAGAUGAACAAUCCACUAUAUAAAAAAAAGAGUACAAACUAUCGAGAGAACAACCUCACGAAGAGGCAAAUACAAGUGACACACUAACACUUGUCCCGUAAAGUUCUCUCCCUAAACACUACUCUCAAGCCCCUAUGGCUACAUUGUGGAUGCUGCUGAAUGAGAAGGACGAAUCCUCAAUUUAUAGAAGUCCAAACCUUUUCCUACAAGAAAAAGGACUAGCCAAGUAUAUGAGAAUUAUAAUUUCCUUCUACAAUAAGGAAAACCCAAUUAAGGUAAUUAUAUUGCCAUUUCCUUCAACAAAUAGGAAAACCAAAUAUGAUAAGAAAAUUAUGGUAAAUACCUAACAAUUUUGUGGGCAUGCCUUCUGGAUCUGGACCACAGGGCAAUGUUCCUCCAGGUGGACUGCCAAACAUGCAAGGCCCUCAAAAUCCAGGAGGUAAUCAGAUGUUUCCACCAGGACGAGGCUUCAACAGGCAACAAGCUGGACAAAUGCCGCUUAUGCCUGGACAUAAUCCUUAUCAG
rnacentral:lncRNA from 1 species